rnacentral:rRNA from 1 species
GGAAUAUUGGACAAUGGGCGCAAGCCUGAUCCAGCCAUGCCGCGUGAGUGAUGAAGGCCUUAGGGUUGUAAAGCUCUUUCAGUGGGGAAGAUAAUGACGGUACCCACAGAAGAAGCCCCGGCUAACUUCGUGCCAGCAGCCGCGGUAAUACGAAGGGGGCUAGCGUUGUUCGGAUUUACUGGGCGUAAAGCGCACGUGGGCGGGUCGUUAAGUCGGGGGUGAAAUCCUGGAGCUCAACUCCAGAACUGCCUUCGAUACUGGCGACCUAGAGUCCGGAAGAGGUGAGUGGAACUCCUAGCGUAGAGGUGGAAUUCGUAGAUAUUAGGAAGAACACCAGUGGCGAAGGCGGCUCACUGGCUCGAUACUGACGCUGAGGCGCGAAAGCGUGGGGAGCAAAC